rnacentral:misc_RNA from 1 species
AGCAUCUGGCAGCCCUCCCGCAUC